CCUCAGCCCUGAUUAACUGAGAGGCAUGGUAACAAGUUUGUCUUCACCUCCCAAUAAUGCUUGGUUGCUCUGUGAAUUAAAACUGUCACAGAGAGUUACAACAUUUAUGUAACUUACAAGCAAUAUGAGCUGCAUGGCGAGAAGGAGGUCCAUUCUGACAAUAACUGGAGAACAAGCUUUCUAUCAAGUUUGGUGGAGUCAAACCAGGAGAGGUUAUGUAAAGCUGGCCACUUGGAGUGUCACUGUGAGAAGGCCCUCCAUUGUGCAUGUGCCAGGGCUCAACUGCAUUCUGGAAUCCAAGAUAAAUAUGAAAGCAGAAAAUCAGCAACUGUUGCAAAAUUAAAUGCUCCCCAGUUGUUUGCACAGAAUGUAUAUAGGUAUCAAUCAAUGUUUGUAGGGUAGAGUGUUAAUCAGAAGAAAAAAUGUGCCACUUAACACAGGCAAGGAGUCACAACAACCACAGCAGGAUGAAGAUGAAGAGACAAAAUAAUAUUGCGAUAAGUAUUAGAUAAGCAGUAGUAGUAGUAGCUCUUAUUGCAUCUUAUUGGCAUUGAGCAGUUUAAAAAUUCAAUUAAAGAAACAAGCAAAUGGCAUUUGCAAUUGUAUUAAUGGGUUUGCUUUGAUUGUACUUUAUUGGCAUUUGCUUGUUUUAACCCAUGAUAUGCCACUCUAAUAUAGAGCAUUCUAAUCCAGCCACCUUUCAGGAAAAAAGAAAUAGUAGUCUAAUAAAAAACAGCAUACAAUAAAUGUGGGCUUCGCUUUUUAAGGUUUGUAUUUUUUCACAAAUCAUAAUCUUGUUUCAGAAAUUGCCUGUCUUUUCAAAUACGUGUAUAUUUAUAUUUUAUGGACAUUUAUGUAUAGUUUUUAACCUUUAUUAUUGUUUAGUAUGUUGUAAGCUAUCUUGUCUCAUCAUUGAGAAAAAAUGAAUAAAAUCAUCGUCGUCAUCCUUUUGAUCAGCAUUUCCGGUCAUUUACAUCAUCAUGAACCAGAACUGGACUUCCUGGAAGAGAUAGUUCCUUUUUGCUGACCUGGAUUGCUUGUCUUUUGUCCAUUGCUUUCCUAUGCAUCAUUGAUAGUAGCACUGAAAAUACUCACUACCCGAAAUAAACAGGCAGACAGAUAUCAGAUGUUUGUGUGAGCACAAUGCAUUCUACUAAUGAAAUGCUCCUGAUCAUCAUUGUGGUUGUACCAAAGCAGCUUGAUACUGAUCACAGUCAGGUGAAGCAGGAAACAAUUACCAGUGAGGGACUCAGAGAUGAAGCUCUUAGUGCUAUGUGUCCGUCUCAGAG
rnacentral:lncRNA from 11 species